rnacentral:snRNA from 2 species
GGAAGUGUGUGUGUCUUAGUGAUGGCACUGCUGAACAUUGAUCGCUCCCACUUCAGGCAGAUCUGCUCAGUUAAGGUGUAGUCACGUGGUUUACUUUAGCAGUUCAGGGACCUCCCGAUGCUACAAAUCGCACGGUGGAUGGUCCCGAGGACUCCUCGAUUGCCGCGAUUCCAAAUUGUUAGGCGUGAGGUUAAUCGAACUUCCAUAUAUCGGUACUACUGUGUGUAGUUUGCCAGUUUUUUUC